UGGGGAAUUUUGGACAAUGGGCGAAAGCCUGAUCCAGCAAUGCCGCGUGAGUGAAGAAGGCCUUCGGGUUGUAAAGCUCUUUUGUCAGGGAAGAAACGGUGAAAGCUAAUAUCUUUUGCUAAUGACGGUACCUGAAGAAUAAGCACCGGCUAACUACGUGCCAGCAGCCGCGGUAAUACGUAGGGUGCAAGCGUUAAUCGGAAUUACUGGGCGUAAAGCGUGCGCAGGCGGUUUUGUAAGUCUGAUGUGAAAUCCCCGGGCUCAACCUGGGAAUUGCAUUGGAGACUGCAAGGCUAGAAUUUGGCAGAGGGGGGUAGAAUUCCACGUGUAGCAGUGAAAUGCGUAGAUAUGUGGAGGAACACCGAUGGCGAAGGCAGCCCCCUGGGUCAAGAUUGACGCUCAUGCACGAAAGCGUGGGGAGCAAAACAGGAUUAGAUACCCUGGUAGUCCACGCCCUAAACGAUGUCUACUAGUUGUCGGGUCUUAAUUGACUUGGUAACGCAGCUAACGCGUGAAGUAGACCGCCUGGGGAGUACGUCGCAAGAUUAAAACUCAAAGGAAUU
rnacentral:rRNA from 1 species